AACGAACGCUGGCGGCAGGCCUAACACAUGCAAGUCGAGCGAGGACUUCGGUUCUAGCGGCGGACGGGUGAGUAACGCGUGGGAAUGUGCCCUUCUCUACGGAAUAGCCCUGGGAAACUGGGAGUAAUACCGUAUACGCCCCAUUGGUGAAAGAUUGAUCGAAGAAGGAUCAGCCCGCGUUGGAUUAGGUAGUUGGUGGUGUAAUGGCCUACCAAGCCGACGAUCCAUAGCUGGUUUGAGAGGAUGAUCAGCCACACUGGGACUGAGACACGGCCCAGACUCCUACGGGAGGCAGCAGUGGGGAAUCUUAGACAAUGGGGGCAACGCUGAUCUAGCCAUGCCGCGUGAGUGAUGAAGGCCUUAGGGUUGUAAAGCUCUUUCAGCUGGGAAGAUAAUGACGGUACCAGCAGAAGAAGCCCCGGCUAACUCCGUG
rnacentral:rRNA from 1 species